rnacentral:lncRNA from 1 species
GUGGUAGUGGCAGCCACAGCAGCUGUCGCUCAGGGAAUGGAGGAGGUUUUAGGAGGAGAAGUAGCAAAUGCUUCCAGAGCUGUGUACUUUUCCACGGAUCAUCUGAUAACCACCGCUUCCAAGAGGCAGAACUUCAUCCUCAUCCUCUAAUGGACUAUGGAAAGAAGAAAAACAGUCCUUUUACAGUGAAGAAACUCAGCAGAUGCUCCCUCAACAUCGCUGGUGGUAAGUCUUGUGGCUACUGGGUACCCCCUGAUACAAUGACAGGGGCACCUCACCUCUGUGAUCUUUUACCCAAAAACUAAUAACCUCAGUCUCAUGAGAAAAACAUCAGACAAACUCAGAUGAGGGGCAUUCUACAAAAUACGUGAGCAGCACUCUUCGAAUGUGUCAAGGUCGUGAAAAACAAGAAAAGACUCAGAACUGUUAGGGACCAGAGGAGCCUCAGGAGAUGACGGAGACUGAAUGCCAUGUGGGAUGCCGGAUGAGAUCAUGGAACAGAAAAAGGGCAUUAGUGGGAAACUGGCGAAAUCCUAAUAGAGUCUGUCGUCCAGCUAAUAAUGUUUUACUAAUGUUAACUUUUUAGUUUUGACAAAUGUAGCAUGAUUAUGUAAGAUGUUCACAUUAGGGGAAGGUGGGGGAAGAGUAUGGGAACUUUGUGGAACUUUGCUGUAAAUCUAAAAUCACUAAACAAAAAUUAUUCAAAAAAUCAGGGUGUAGAUAUUUAUUAGUAUAGAAAUGUAUUCACAACAUAUUAAGGGGAA